UUCCGGUUGAUCCUGCCGGACCCCACUGCCAUCGGGAUAGGACUAAGACAUGCUAGUCGUGUGCCUCAGCCAAAACGAGGCACGGCGCACAGCUCAGUAACACGAGGCUAACCUGCCCUUAGGACGAGAAUAACCCCGGGAAACUGGGGCUAAUGCUCGAUAGGUGAAGAACUCUGGAAUGAGUCUUCACUUAAAAGAGUCUGCGUUAUGCUCGUAGAUUUCGCCCAAGGAUGGGGCCGCGACCGAUCAGGUUGUUGGCGAGGUAAUGGCUCACCAAGCCUUUUACCGGUGCGGGCCGUGAGAGCGGGAGCCCGGAGAUGGGCACUGAGACAAGGGCCCAGGCCCUACGGGGCGCAGCAGUCGCGAAAACUUUGCAAUACACGAAAGUGUGACAGGGCUAUCCCGAGUGCCAUCCGCUGAGGAAGGCUUUUACCCAGUCUAGAAAGCUGGGGGAAUAAGGAGAGGGCAAGUCUGGUGUCAGCCGCCGCGGUAAUACCAGCUCUCCGGGUGGUGUGGAUGUUUAUUGGGCCUAAAGCAUCCGUAGCUGGCUAAGUUAGUCCCCUGUUAAAUCCAACGAAUUAAUCGUUGGAUCGCGGGGGAUACUGCUUGGCUAGGGGACGAGAGAGGCAGACGGUAUUUCCGGGGUAGGGGUGAAAUCCUAUAAUCCCGGGAAGACCACCAGUGGCGAAGGCUGUCUGCUAGAACGCGCCCGACGGUGAGGGGUGAAAGCUGGGGGAGCGAACCGGAUUAGAUACCCGGGUAGUCCCAGCUGUAAACGAUGCAGGCUAGGUGUUUGGACGGCCACGUGCCGUUCUAGUGCCGCAGGGAAGCUGUUAAGCCUGCCGCCUGGGGAGUAUGAUCGCAAGAUCGAAACUUAAAGGAAUUGGCGGGGGAGCACCACAAGGGGUGAAGCUUGCGGUUUAAUUGGAUUCAACGCCGG
rnacentral:rRNA from 1 species